rnacentral:rRNA from 1 species
AGCCUGAAAACACCUCUCUGGAUCCUCGAAUUGAAAGAGAGAUUGAGAGGGAUCAAGAAUCCUAAUUCUCGCUAUUUGGAAGUCAUACAACCCCAGGUUCAAGAACCGGCGGAUGUCGCUACUCAUCUCCGUCGAUCUACUUACUAUGAUCCUUGUCUCAUGGGUCUAUAA